CCUACGGGAGGCAGCAGUGAGGAAUAUUGGUCAAUGGGCGAGAGCCUGAACCAGCCAAGUCGCGUGAGGGAUGACGGUCCUAUGGAUUGUAAACCUCUUUUGUCGGGGAACAAAGGCGUCCACGUGUGGACUGAUGAGUGUACCCGAAGAAAAAGCAUCGGCUAACUCCGUGCCAGCAGCCGCGGUAAUACGGAGGAUGCGAGCGUUAUCCGGAUUUAUUGGGUUUAAAGGGUGCGCAGGCGGAAGCGGCAAGUCAGCGGUAAAAUUGCGGGGCUCAACCUCGCCGAGCCGUUGAAACUGCUCUUCUAGAGUGGGCGAGAAGUAUGCGGAAUGCGCGGUGUAGCGGUGAAAUGCAUAGAUAUCGCGCAGAACUCCGAUUGCGAAGGCAGCAUGCCGGCUCCACACUGACGCUGAGGCACGAAAGCGUGGGUAUCGAACAGGAUUAGAUACCCGAGUAGUC
rnacentral:rRNA from 1 species